UGUUAUUGAAAUGAUGUCGAGAACUGAAAAUGAAACAAAAGUUUCAAUGAAAGUCUUAAGGAAUGCCCACCUCCUGAUAUUUCCUCCUCCGGAGACCCCUCUCUAUAAUUUUGCCCUUGAACAGCUGAUGGAAGAGCGUCCAUACUUGCGUCAUAUUGUGGGCGUGGCCUACAAUGCAACAAGCUUGAUGGAUACCUAUGCAUAUAACGACAUCAAAACAGGCUGAAAAGCGUUUUCUGCAGAAAUAAUUAUUCAGAUUUGCUAUCAUUUUUUAGAAGCAAAGGUCAGCAUUUUAUUUCCACAAGUUCAUUCAAAUUCAUAAAAAGGUUAAAUCACGAAAUACAAGGGGAUUGAUAUCACAACUAAAGGACAAAGAAAGAUUUUACUGUGAUGUGUACAGAAAAAAAAGUACUUAUAUUACUCUCCUGCACAGCUGCAUAUGUAUGAUGGCUUUGGAAACUCAGAGCACGUUUCCCAUUACAGGCUGCACGUGGACUUCACCUCUCUGUCAUGUGGCAUCAAGUGACCAAAGGGAUUGAAUCAACUGAAUCAGAGCGUGUGUUUUUAGAAUCAACUUGUAGUAUUCAUCAUCAACUUGUAGUAUUCAUCUCUGUCUGCAUGACUGAAACACUUGUGAUAUGUGUUUUUGAUGUCAGUUGGCAUGUUGAGUAGGGCACUGCCAGACACACAUUGUUGAUUAUAUGUGCACAACUUGAAAAGACCUGGCUCUAUUAAAAAAAAAAUCAAUAGUAGAAAAGAGGAUAUCUGCACAUUCACAUUCAGAUGGUGGAAAUUUUUCAUUUAAUGUGCAAAGCUUUUAGUCCUUUAGGGCUAGGGUGUGCUCAUCAAACAAUGAACAGGCAGGUUUGAAUAAAUCUACUUUGAUGCAUCAUACCUGAGCCAAAACUACUCGCCCGUCUGCCUUACUGAGAGGGCUUAAUGGUUCAUUCCACCCUAAGUAAGUCCAGAAAAUAUCUUGUACUGUUAUAACUUGCAUGGUAGCAACCAAAUGUAUGUUAAUAUCACUUUGAGAGUGAGUUAAAGAUGAUUUCAGCAGAGUAUCAAGCACUUUAUUUUAUUUUAACUGAAAAGUGUAAGCAAAUCUUUACAUCUCCUUGUGCAUAUGUUUAUGUGUAAAAGAGGUGUGUGUUAUAUUAAAUAUAGCUUAAACUAAAAUUUAAUGUCUUACCUUCUGUGAUAAUGUUAAAGUUAUCGAAGUUUUUAAUGGGUCUUUGUGUAAUAGAGGUGUGUAUGUGCAAGGUCAACUCAGGCUGUGAUAAAGGAGCCUGUUGCGAAAGCUUGUCAUCAGACCUGGACUUCUGAGAGAUGCCCCAACUUAUACAAGAAUUUUCACAACAUCUGUUUUUUUUAAAACCCAUCUAAAAAACCCCUUUUAUUCCUUGGCUUUUGACCCAGCAUGAGACGGCAUUUAUUUUAUUGUUUUUUAUUGUUUUAGUGCUUUUUUUAUUGCUUUUUAUUGUAUUUUAACACAACUAUUUAUUGUUAUUUUAUGUUUUUAUGUUAUGUACAGCAC